GCUGUCAUGUACUUCCCUGGAGAAAAGUUCUCUAUCCUCAGAUUCAGUUGUAGGUCAGGGAAACACUGACGCAUGGAAGAUGUGUGGUCUAGACAGGAAAGCAUCACUCUGUUUAGUAUUUGAUAUUGCAAAGAAGGAUGGGGCCAUAUUUGGUUGGUCAAUCAGGAAGUAAUCAGUUCUACUUCCAAUUCUUAACCUACUUGGGAAUCUGUUUGCCCCCCUUCAUCAUUUUUAGGUUUUUAACAACAGUCAAGAUGAAACUGCAUAUUUCACAAUGAUGUUAAACAGAGAGAAUGUAUCAAAUGCAGUUGUGAUGAUCCAGCCAUCACUCUUGCAAUCAGGUCCAGAGCCAGUUCUAUUGGAUGUAACUGCAAUUGCAGCUAAUUCCCCUUUGUUGGAUUCUUAUUUUACUCUUGUCAUAUUCCAUGGGAUUACAAUUGCAUAGGGGUGAAAGGCUGGUUACCAAGAUCAAGAAGGCCAUGAGGUAAUACAUUGUCAACCAAAACCUAUCAUAUACUCCGUAUUAGAUUUGGUCUGUUGAGCUCCAUGUAGCUUUCAUUCCACGUAUUUGUACUUAUGGCUACAAAUAACCGUAUCCAAGCUUGAUUUAAACUC